UCGUCGUUUGAUUCGUUUCGUUUCUUUCGCUUCCAAUUGUUCAAGAAUUCUUGUGGAUCCAUGGCUUCGGUGCCUUCCACCGCCUCUGCUUCUGCGGCAUCCUCCUCCUCCUCCACCUCCCAGCACGCAUACCCUGCUACCGGAACCACCCCGUAUUUUCCGACGCCGUUUCACCUUCAACAAAUACCCGCCCCAUCCACGGCCCCUUACAUCGGGGCAGCCCCUCCUCCUGCUGUUCCUUCCGUCGCACGUCCUGUUUACCCUGCUCCUGUCGCCGUCUACUCUUUGCCUCAAUAUCAACAGGCCCAACAGUUAUUUCAAAGGGAUGCCCAGACAAUAACACCUGAAGCUCUUGAAAGUGUAAAAGCUGCUCUUGCCAGUAGUGAUAUAGAGCACAAAGCAGAGACUAAGAAGAAAGCAGUUCCGCGGAAAGCCGCCGGGCAAACAUGGGAAGAUCCCACUCUUGCAGAAUGGCCUGAGAAUGAUUAUCGUCUAUUUUGUGGUGAUCUUGGAAAUGAGGUGAACGAUGAUGUCUUGUCCAAAGCCUUCUCAAGAUUUCCUUCCUUCAAUAUGGCCAGGGUUGUAAGAGAUAAGCGUACAGGCAAAACCAAGGGCUAUGGUUUUGUUAGUUUUUCUAACCCAACUGACCUUGUCGGAGCACUGAAAGAAAUGAAUGGGAAGUAUGUAGGAAACCGUCCAAUUAAGCUUCGCAAAAGCAACUGGACUGAGAGAACCGAUCAUGAGGCCCUGGGAAGACAUAAGAACCAGUCUCAGAAGAAGACAAAGCUGCCAAAGAGAAGUGUGUUGCACAAAUGAGUGGUGACAUUAGAUCGGCCCUCCCUCCCUCCCUGGCAUUUAUAUAGAUAGAUAGUGUUGUGCCAAUCCUCAAUGGAAUCAAGAGCCCUUAUUGGGUGCAAUGGCAUGGCAUGGCACACAAUAGGAGAUGAUGGAAGAAGGCAUUUUUCACAAAUGCUCACCCAAGAUGUUCCCUUCAAGUCUGCUACUAGUAACACACGCCUUGGGUAGGCCUGGUUUGGUCUCCCGCCUGCCCACAGCCGCACAACAAUAUCAAUCAAAUCCAAGGAAAGGAAAUGCAAUGCACCCAAAGAAGAAGAAGCUGCUGCUGGUGGUGGUUUGAACCUAAAAUCAGUGGUUCCAACUUUGAUUGAUUUCCGGAAUGUAGAGUGGAACUGAGACCAAACCAAACCUUUUCAUAAAAUCCAAUUGUUCUGGAUUGAAAAUUGCUUGCACAUGUCUGUCCCUAGUUGUCUAUUACUCUACAGCAAUCAGCCAAGCAGAAUAACACAAAACAGCU